rnacentral:lncRNA from 1 species
UCAGUGGGUGUGACAACAGUCCCUGGUCUUGUGAUGCCCAAAUGGCACGUUAAGCAAACGUAUAAAAGAGCAAGACUUUUUCUGUUCAACACCUCAGAGCGACACCCAGAAGGAACGAAGAGAAGAUAAUUCACCAACAGGUUAACUCUUAUUUUUCUUUUGCCUUUCUUUAAUGGACUGACAGUAACUAAGAGUCAUAGUUUCUCCAUGUGCGAGUCUUAUUAACACGUUGUCUUCUUUCUUUUUGUCAAGUUCAUCAUUGUUAAUAACUGCCCAAACUUCACCAUGAAGAUGCUGGCUGUGUCUCUACUUCUUCUUGCCAUUAUGGCUCUGACUGAGGGGACUUCUCCUCCUGAAACGGUUCCUCCUCCGAUGCCAACUCCUGAACUUCAUGCAGGGACGGAUGAGGUGAGCAGUGAGGAAGGUGAAAGCACCGAAGGGGAUGGAACUGAGAAUGCAUCAGAAGCCGAUAAGGGAGACGAAACAGAAGACGAUGAGGGAGACGAAACAGAAGACGAUGAGGGAGACGAAACAGAAGACGAUGAGGGAGACGAAACAGAAGACGAUGAGGGAGACGAAACAGAAGACGAUGAGGGAGACAAUGCAGAAGACGAUGAGGGAGAUGAGUCCGCAUCAACUCCAAUGUCCUGGGAUGAUGGGUGGUGAUCGGAUCAUCGCAGACAAAGAAAAAAAGGAGCCUUGAUGCACCGGUGAAAGGUGCAAACAUUGGAAAUGUGUUUGUUUCUACAUUUGACAUCAAAUCAAAUUUGCAUUUUAUGCCUUGCUGUAACGCUACUUGAGGAAAGGAACGACAAGUGACAUAAACAAGAGCUGCUUCUUUGGCCCUGUGCUUUAAGUAAGAGCAGAUGGAAUGGCAAUGAAAGGAAUGCUUUUUGCACAGCUUGAUCUUCUUGUAUCUUGCAUAAUUAUUAAAAGAUUCAAACACUGAAACAAGCUUGUUUGUAAGUUUGGGUGCCACCUUGGUUGGUAUGUGUCCUGUAUCUCAAGAGCUCCAUAGCACCAGUAAAUAAUAGGGACCAUAAUUCUGAAGGGGAAAUUACACAAGAUUUACACUAUGAUUUUAAUCUUUGGAAUCCCAUUGUAUAAUCAAUAUAUGUGGACAUUAAGUAUCAUAAACGCUACUGUAGAUCAACCAACCCUUUCAUAAACCAUCAUGUUACUCUUUCAGCUGUGAUUGCAGUACGAUUUAAAGUCCCACUCCAGACAGUGUUUCUUCCCACCUAAUGGUUAACAUUGUUCAUCAAACAGAUAAACAGGGGGCAUGGUUAAUUCUCAUGUGUGAACUAUUACCAUCACAGCAACACCUCUGUUCUAACAAGAUCUGCAUUACUGGCAUGGAUUAGCAAUAGCACUAAUAUUAGCAUGGAUAAGAUUAAUAACAAUUCAUACUAUAACAAUAUAUACAAUGUGAAAAUAAAGUUUUUAUUAUAAUGAACAUACAUAUAAUAAUUAUGAUUUGCCCCUAAGCAUUUUUUUUCUGCAUCAUAAUUUUAAAAAAAUAGUUUUUUCAGGUAAUAUCAGCAACAAAGGUAAAAAUAUUGUGUUAAAAUAUUACUUUGGUAGACGUGGUAAAGUGCAUAGUUUCUUGACUGGCCCAGACAGAGUCAGAUCUCAAAGAUAAUGUUCUCUUGAAAAACAAAAAAGGGAAGAACAGAACAGAACUGACCAGUCACAGCAGCGCAGAUGAAGUCUUCGUAUAUCCAAGUGUUGCAAUCACUAUUACAACACUGAUCACUAUCACUGUUACUUCUUGUACAUUCCCUACAGUUCAUGAAGUACUGCAUUAAUUGGUGUGGGUGCAAAGCUGACCCUUUGGCAGCAGUAGAAACAGAUGGUGGCAGUUUCAAAGCAGACGUUUAUUUAUAUGGCUUAUACUUCAGAAUAUGACUUGGAUGUGAAUAUUAAUCUAUAUGCGGUGUGAAAAAAAUAUUAAAAUAUUUUUUGAGUUUAUUUUCCUUAAAAACAAUUUUCUGAUUGCGAAACAAAUAACUUUAAAAUGUUUCUAUGUUCAGCAUGAUUGUUUUGUUUAUCUCUGCUUAAGAAUUCUGACAAGGUUUGUGAGCCAGUAGUAUGAUGUUGUCAGUAUCAGGUGUUAUCUGUGUUUUGCCUUGGUAGAUCCCAGCACACUGUAAUGCCCUAAUUAUUAGCAACAUUUCUGUCAGUUGAACAAUGUUGAUUAUAUGUUCACCUUGUAAUUACAUUUUACAGCGACAUGAGGAGUUGACACAGGUUUGUGUUUGAAAUUAGUGUCAUCCUCAUAUGUAUCAAAUUAUAUAUUUAAUGAUGUACUGUUAAAUGUAACAAAACUGCACAUCCUUAUACUGACCCUGGUUUGUUUGAGUUUUCUGGAGGCCUCUAACACUAACCCUAUGCCUUACUUAUGUUAGGGUGAAGAAAGAUAAAUAGUAUAAUAGUCGAGUGUGUUCAAUUCACACUUCCUGACUGUACAUGCAAAUAUUUUUAGACAAAGAGAGAAAUGUUCAUGUAUAACAUUUGCCGAAUGGGGAAAAAGGCCAAAAUAGUUAAGACAGUGCUGCAGAAAGCCGCUCACAAAGGUCAUACACUUUCUCCUCACGCUCCAAGUCUUCCUCUUCAUUGUUCUCCAAAGAAGUGACCAAUUUGUUAUUGUUACUGGAUUUGUAAAGUUUCACAUGUUUACAGUCAAAAUGUUAUAUUCUUUAACACAUUUGCCAUGAAUAAUUAAAUAAGUUCAAACAGUUGCUGGGAGGUAAGACACUGUAAACCCGAACA